CGGACGGUGAGUAACACGUUGGAACCUGCCCCAAAGUGAGGAAUAAGCCACCGAAAGGUGGUCUAAUACUUCAUAAUAUCCAUCUCGUAUGGAUUAAAGCUUUAUGCGCUUUGGGAGGGGCCUGCGUAACAUUAGCUUGUUGGUGAGGUAAAAGCUCACCAAGGCUUCGAUGUUUAACUGGUUUGAGAGGAUGACCAGUCACACUGGACUGAGAUACGGCCAGACUCCUACGGGAGGCAGCAGUAAGGAAUCUUCCACAAUGGGGCAACCCUGAUGGAGCAAUACCGCGUGCAGGAUGAAGCGUUUCGGCGUGUAAACUGCUUUUAUCACCGAAGAUUAUGACUGUAGGUGAAGAAUAAGGACCGGCUAACUACGUG
rnacentral:rRNA from 1 species